GGAGAUGUCGUGGGAGGCUGCCCCAGGCGGUGGAGCUGCAGGUGCAGAGGGCCUCGGUGGCGGCUCAGCGCCCUUGGGGAGCACUGAGUUGCCGGGCCUGGUGUGGAAAUGUGACCGGUUUGUGCCUGGCCUCGUCAGUGUUGAGGACCUGGAGGAAACGCAGAUCUUGGGUGGGGAGACAAGGCGGAGAGAAUGAGGUGCAUUGGAACAGUCCAGGCGAGGGGUGCUGGCCUGCUUGGGGGCAACUCAGAGGCCUGGAGGAUAGAUGAGGAGGGGGGCUGUGGGCCUUGUAGGUGUUGGCUGUGGCCGUGCCUGGAGUGGAGGGACCCUUGAGAGUUUGGCCUCAGCUCGGGACACUGAUGUUCCCGGGUUGGCCCUUCAUGAGAGUUUGGCCUCAGCUCGGGACACUGAUGUUCCCGGGUUGGCCCUUCAUGAGAGUUUGGCCUCAGCUCGGGACACUGAUGUUCCUCGGUUGGCCCUUCACAGCUGGUGGUGGGGGGGUGCUUUGGGGAGAGGCUGCCCUACGCAUCAGGGCAUCAAGACACAGGGGAGUGAAUGAACCUGGGGCUGCAGUUUCACCUGGGUGUGGCCCUGGCUGCUGGGGAGGGGCCGUGGCUCUGAAGCCUCCUGAUUGGCCAGGGGAGCUGGCAUUUCUGUUCUGGUUUGGGUCAGUGACCUGAGGUGGUUACAAGUCAGUGAGGUCAUUGCCACGGAUGUAGGUUACAACCUGGAAUGCUUGAGGCUGCAGAACCCCUCCCCUUCUUGACUGAGCAGUAAGGGUUCCCUGCUGUGGUGCAGGAACAUGUGGGCAGAGCCCUGGGUGUCUCCAGGUAGAGGAAUUUUGGUUUCUUUUUGACCCCAGGUUGAAUCUCCAAAUUGUCACUGCCUUGUGUUCCCCUCCAGUAGGCAGAAGGAGGUGAUAUUGUCCGUUGAGAUCUAAAGUCCUUUAUGAAGGUCCUCCUUCUCCUUCCAGGAGGGAGCCAUGGAUUUGCUGCGGGAGCUGAAGGCCAUGCCUAUCACGCUGCACCUGCUCCAGUCCACCCGAGUCGGGAUGUCUGUCAACGCCCUUCGGAAGCAGAGCUCGGAUGAGGAGGUCAUUGCACUGGCCAAGUCUCUCAUCAAGUCCUGGAAGAAGCUCCUGGAUGCUUCCGAUGCCAAAGCCAGGGAGCGGGGGAGGGGCAUGCCUCUGCCCACGUCCUCGAGGGAUGCCUCAGAGGCCCCGGAUCCCAGCCGCAAGAGGCCGGAGCUGCCCAGGGCACCGUCGACUCCGAGGAUCACCACAUUUCCCCCGGUGCCUGUCACCUGUGAUGCCGUGCGCAACAAGUGCCGCGAGAUGCUGACCGCUGCCCUGCAGACGGACCAUGACCACGUGGCCAUCGGUGCGGACUGCGAGCGCCUGUCGGCUCAGAUCGAGGAAUAUAUCCUUUGGGUAGGGGCUGUGGGCCUGGGUUUCUGGUGGAGUCAGGAGGCUGCCUGGCCUGGUGCCCUCUGGUGGCUGCUGGAUGCCACUGCCCAGCUGUCCAGGGGUCACCUGCCUGGGUGGUCACCUGCCUGGGUGGUCAGGCUGUCUCACCCCAGGAGGGCCCCCGGACCAGCUGAGGGGCUGAUUCUGUCUGCUUGUGGGGCCUAGGUCCCCUGGGGCUAUAGCCUGAAGCUGGGUCUCAGUCAGGAAUGGGCCUGGGGCAGGCUUGGCCCCGCAGCCCUUCACCUCUCCACCAGGUGUGGGUGGGCAGACCGACCCCUGUGUGGCUGGGCAGAACCUUUCCAGCCCCCACCCCAACAUGGCCCCCAGCGGGGCAGGUGGUAGGUGGAGGGCAGUGACGUUGUCCUCAGGUGGGUCCUUAAAACACUUGCACGCAUCUUCCGGGACGUUGGAAACACAGACAUGAAGUAUAAGAACCGUGUACGGAGUCGUAUCUCCAACCUGAAGGAUGCCAAGAACCCUGACCUGCGGCGGAAUGUGCUGUGUGGGGCCAUAACACCCCAGCAGAUCGCUGUGAUGACCUCAGAGGUGAGCCCCUGUUGGAGGGGCUGGAGGGCUGCUCCCUCGGAGCGGUGGGCUAAGCCACUGGCCCCGUGCUCCAGGAGAUGGCCAGUGACGAGCUGAAGGAGAUCCGUAAGGCCAUGACGAAGGAGGCCAUCCGAGAGCACCAGAUGGCCCGCACCGGCGGCACGCAGACAGACCUGUUCACCUGCGGCAAGUGCAGGAAAAAGAACUGCACCUACACACAGGUGCAGACCCGCAGCUCUGAUGAGCCCAUGACCACCUUUGUUGUCUGCAACGAGUGUGGAAACCGCUGGAAGUUCUGCUGACCCCUUGUGUAGAUGUGCUGCAGCCUUGGGCCCUCCCCUGCCCACGUCCUCCGUUGACACAGCUUCUCUGGAGACCCUAGAAGGCGGCAUGUCCUGCCCUCAACCUGCCUGCCUGGAUUGCACCUUUCUGCCCUUUCCCCCUCAUUAUUAAAUGUUUCUUUUUGC
rnacentral:sRNA from 1 species